rnacentral:rRNA from 1 species
GAUGAACGCUGGCGGCGUGCCUAAUACAUGCAAGUCGAGCGAACGGACGAGAAGCUUGCUUCUCUGAUGUUAGCGGCGGACGGGUGAGUAACACGUGGAUAACCUACCUAUAAGACUGGGAUAACUUCGGGAAACCGGAGCUAAUACCGGAUAAUAUUUUGAACCGCAUGGUUCAAAAGUGAAAGACGGUCUUGCUGUCACUUAUAGAUGGAUCCGCGCUGCAUUAGCUAGUUGGUAAGGUAACGGCUUACCAAGGCAACGAUGCAUAGCCGACCUGAGAGGGUGAUCGGACACACUGGAACUGAGACACGGUCCAGACUCCUACGGGAGGCAGCAGUAGGGAAUCUUCCGCAAUGGGCGAAAGCCUGACGGAGCAACGCCGCGUGAGUGAUAAAGGUCUUCGGAUCGUAAAACUCUGUUAUUAGGGAAGAACAUAUGUGUAAGUAACUGUGCACAUCUUGACGGUACCUAAUCAGAAAGCCACGGCUAACUACGUG